rnacentral:snoRNA from 1 species
UGGCAGUGAUGACUAUCUUAGGACACCUUUGGAACAGCCAUGAAAUAAUAAAUCCCUCAUUCUGAGCCAU